UUUAACAGGGUACAACUAUUGGUUAAUCACUUUUCGUUUGAUAAAAGUUGUGUAACUUUAAGCAGAAAUCUGACACAGUGUGUUCUUAGCACGACUGAUAUUAAAUUUAGCUUUAGUAAAAACUCCUUUACAGCAAACUGUGUUUCCCAUACAUGAAUUUCUGAAAAAGGGUUAAAAACCUGAUUAAUAUGGAAUUUGUUGUUUUAUAAAUAAACCAUUUUAUAUUUAGAAGGAUUAAAUAUUUGUUUAUUGCUUUUAUUUUUGUUAAAAAGCAAGAUUUGUGUGUUUUUAAUUAUUGCCAGUUGUUGAACUGAGGAAAUGGCAGUAAAGCAUUAUUUUAACGACUAGAUGGAGACUAUGACCACUAUUUGGCCACUAGGGCGCCAUUUUGGUUAGGUCGCAUUGAGGACACGAUGCCCUGCUUAAGAUGGCGGCACUUCCGGUUCCGGUAGCUUUUAGCCUGUUAGCUUCGCUCAGAAGCUUAUUAAAUUAACAUGUUUAACGGCGGAAUUUAGACAGAUUAAGGACAUUGACUGAAAGAGUGUGUUUUUGAGAGAUGAGUUAAUUCGUCGAAACGUGUCUAUGCACGCUAAUUAGUUUCCGAAGGUUUCUUAUUUUUGAGAUCGCUAUAUGAAGAGGGAUUUUGUGUACCCGAGCUUUGCAUCACUUCCGGUUCUGUACUUUUUCGAGGGCUUAAGACAGCUUUUUAGAACAAAAUUCUUAGUGUUUAGACCAGCCAGCACAAACAUGUGUCCAUGUCUUGGCAAUCAUUAUGAAGCUGUCAGAUUGGCUGCUUGAUGGACUCGAGGAUGUCCCCAGUGAACCUGCCUGCACAUCUCGCCCUCAACAGUGGGACAAGCCCAGAGGGUGCAAGAUCCUUCCUGAGCCAGUGACCACAAUGAUCAUCGCCCAACCUUGCAAUGUGGACAGGAAGAAACGACCCCUCACAGCCAACUUUCCUGACAACCGGAAGAUCCAGGUUCUGCAGUCAAAUUGACUACCUGCGCUCAAUAAACUCCUGCCCUAUAUCAUCCCUUGCUAACCCAUCCACUGAGAUGGAGCAGACAACGCUUGGACCACAACCCAUUGGAAGUGGAUUGUCUUAUCAGUUGCCGGUACUCCUCCCAUUGUCAAGACUGACUGACAGCAAAGCUACUGGAUGUGGUGAUUUGGAGUUUCAAAGGCUGCCAGAUAUUGCAAGAAAUCACCCACACUGGUUUCAAGUGCAGGGACAGCUACUUGUUACUGGUGCUCCUUUCUGUGACUUUGUAACCUACACCAGACAAGACCUUGUAAUAACAAGAGUUUACCCUCACAGACGAAAUGGAGGCUAUCCUGUCAAAAAAGUGUUCCAUGUACAGUAAUUUUUAUGUGCAAACAUAGAGGGUGAAUAAACUUCAAGUGUAACUUA